UCUCCGUAGGUGAACCUGCGGAGGGAUCAUUACAGAGUUCUCGCCCUCGCGGGUAGAUCUCCCACCCACUGUUAUCGUUACUGUGUUGCUUUGGCGGACCGCCGGGCCCCGCUCGGCCGCCGGCUCCGGCUGGCGCGCGCCCGCCAGAGGCCCAGCAAACUCUGAAUGUUAGUGUCGUCUGAGUACUAUAUAAUAGUUAAAACUUUCAACAACGGAUCUCUUGGUUCUGUCAUCGAUGAAGAACGCAGC
rnacentral:misc_RNA from 1 species